rnacentral:rRNA from 1 species
UGCUUAACACAUGCAAGUCGAACGGUGAAGCCAAGCUUGCUUGGUGGAUCAGUGGCGAACGGGUGAGUAACACGUGAGCAACCUGCCCUGGACUCUGGGAUAAGCGCUGGAAACGGCGUCUAAUACUGGAUACGAGACGUGGCCGCAUGGUCAACGUUUGGAAAGAUUUUUUGGUUCAGGAUGGGCUCGCGGCCUAUCAGCUUGUUGGUGAGGUAAUGGCUCACCAAGGCGUCGACGGGUAGCCGGCCUGAGAGGGUGACCGGCCACACUGGGACUGAGACACGGCCCAGACUCCUACGGGAGGCAGCAGUGGGGAAUAUUGCACAAUGGGCGAAAGCCUGAUGCAGCAACGCCGCGUGAGGGAUGACGGCCUUCGGGUUGUAAACCUCUUUUAGCAAGGAAGAAGCGAAAGUGACGGUACUUGCAGAAAAAGCACCGGCUAACUACGUGCCAGCAGCCGCGGUAAUACGUAGGGUGCAAGCGUUAUCCGGAAUUAUUGGGCGUAAAGAGCUCGUAGGCGGUUUGUCGCGUCUGCUGUGAAAUCUGGGGGCUCAACCCCCAGCCUGCAGUGGGUACGGGCAGACUAGAGUGCGGUAGGGGAGAUUGGAAUUCCUGGUGUAGCGGUGGAAUGCGCAGAUAUCAGGAGGAACACCGAUGGCGAAGGCAGAUCUCUGGGCCGUAACUGACGCUGAGGAGCGAAAGGGUGGGGAGCAAACAGGCUUAGAUACCCUGGUAGUCCACCCCGUAAACGUUGGGAACUAGUUGUGGGGACCAUUCCACGGUUUCCGUGACGCAGCUAACGCAUUAAUUUCCCCGCCUGGGGAGUACGGCCGCAA